rnacentral:lncRNA from 1 species
UGUCAUUCCCUGCUCACUGUCAAAAAACAUAUAGGGACGCCUGGGGUUCUGACAGCUCUACCACCAUCCACAACGUUUAUUUAUCUGAGGAGGAGAAAGAGAAGCUGGAGUGGAUGAUGAUUCUCACACCUCCGGCUCAGCGUUGAUAUCUGUUCAGAGAGCGGCAGAGGGAAUGAAAGAAUGGAAGGAGGAGGUGCAAGGAAGAGGAGGAGACCCUCAGAGAGCAUUCCGGAAAGCCGGCAGCCUCUGUGGAGCAUCUUCUACUGCCAGGGGAGCUCGUGGAACUCGCAGGGAUGAAGAGAGCGCCGGCCACAUGGAGACACACUGUUACUUAUUCAUCAGUUCGCAGUGCUCUGAGAGAGGAAACAAGGCCUGUGUGCUGUAAACACACUGUCGCACAACACAAAGACUGAAAUAACAAGAGCUCAGCCCUGCAUCCGAACUGACAGAGAUGGGUGCCAGGCAGGUUGUGGAUUUGGUGUGUAUGUUUUGGAAGGGAAGACUGUGCGCAGACUCCCUUGAUCAUCUUUAGGUGCACCAGACUGUUGUGGGAGGAAAUGUUGAUGCGUGUUGCAUAUACAACACGAAAGCCAUCUCUCUUGUGACCAGACAAAUACUGGUUUUGAACAUUUUAAUACGAACUGAUUGGGGCCAAACGCACCGGGAACGUGCAUAAGGGGCUCUGUUUUGGCGAGAUUUGGGAUUUCACGGGGUAUAAAAAUAGAUAGUUGGUGCCUAUUAUCUCAACAAGACAGCGCCAUACGUGCCUUUCCCCCGUGGUGCGAGACACCGGCAUUUACAUCAGCCUUGCACGGCAGAUAGGAAAUUACCUGCUUUGUGAUUUGCUUGUCUGCCGCGAUUACAGCAUUAUCAUAAUGUUACGGUGGGAGAAGCGUACCUACGAGGGUGUCUGGCCUUCUAUCCACCCCCUUCUCUCUCCAAGCAGAGGGGCGCAGGCCCCCUCCGGAGAGGAACCGAGGGCCCACACAGACGCAUGUCGUGCUGGGCAGGUGGAGGAUGCGGUCGGAGGCGUCCCCCCGGGGAGCUGGCGGGUGCAGAUGCUUGACAAAGCCCCCGUGUAGGCAUUCUGAUUCAAUCAGUGCUUUCUGCUGCAGCAGCACACAGUGGCUCAUCCUACUGUUACCACAGCAGCUGCUGUGUAGAAAGUCUGCCAUAAGACUACAGUUGCAAUGAGGAAGAGUAGGUGGAUUACAUUAGGCCUUUUUAUGAUAUGUACUAUUUUUUUGUUCUGUAAACACAUCAAGUUCUUUUAAGACUACAGUUGCAAUUGAGGAAGAGUAGGUGGAUUACAUUAGGCCUUUUAUGAUAUGUACAUUUUUUUGUUCUGUAAACACAUCAAGUUCUUUGUAACUUAUAAGUCAAUUAGGUUGCUUGUUUAUGUCAUGAGAAAAGCUCAUUUGUUUUUGUCGUUUUGAUGGACACCACUGGACAGGUUCUCAUUGCAUAAGUGAUACAGUUGUGAUUUUGUACAAGGAUCAAAGGUCAUGAUUUGUUGUGAAAUUCACUACAGUGAUGCAUCUCUCCCAGUCUGUCUGUGUUAGGCUCUUAACACAAAGUAUCUCAUUCAUUAUUGCUGUUCUUAUGCCUCUAACAACAUGCAGGGAAGUAAUAGCAAAGCCACGCUCUCAUCUCCUCACCUCUUUUGCUGCUAGAGAGAAUACACUGCUAUGCAGUACCGCCGC